AUCCUUUCUGGUUCAUAAACCAUGAUGAUUGGGUGUUCACAUCAUUGUGUGACAUGUGCUGCCCAUAAACUUUGUUGCGAUGUAGGCACAUUACCCAUUUGACG